rnacentral:rRNA from 1 species
UAGUCCACACCGUAAACGAUGAGAGCUAGUUGUCUGCAAGCAUGCUUGUAGGUGACGCAGCUAACGCAUUAAGCUCUCCGCCUGGGGAGUACGGUCGCAAGAUUAAAACUCAAAGAAAUUGACGGGGGCCCGCACAAGCGGUGGAGCAUGUGGUUUAAUUCGAAGCAACGCGCAGAACCUUACCUACCCUUGACAUGCCGGUCGCGAUUUCCAGAGAUGGAUUUCUUCAAUUCGGUUGGACCGUGCACAGGUGCUGCAUGGCUGUCGUCAGCUCGUGACGUGAGAUGUUGGGUUAAGUCCCGCAACGAGCGCAACCCUCAUUUUUAGUUACCAUCAUUUAGUUGGGUACUCUAGAGAAACUGCCGGGGUCAACCCGGAGGAAGGUGGGGAUGACGUCAAGUCUUCAUGGCCCUUAUGGUCUGGGCUACACACGUGCUACAAUGGCAAAUACAAUGAGCAGCGAUCCCGCGAGGGUCAGCUAAUCUCCAAAAUUUGU